AGGACAUUGAGUUUGUUGACAGUGACCCAAAGAAUCAGAAAUGACAGGGAACUCCUGCUAGCCAUGGAAGUGGUAGCCACAGCAUCCAGUUUCCAGGGGCCGGUGGACCACGUGUCCGUGCGUCUCGGAUAGAAGCGUACAAACAUCACCCAGCCUCCUCUGCUGAAGACAGAGAUGUCCCCAUCAGACUGCGGCAUGCAUUAGUUCAUGGUCAGGCGGGCUAGACCUUUCUCCCAGAUGUUGGUGAAUUCUACUCUCAUGCGAAUGCAUAAAGUGAGAAGUACUGGUCUACUAGAAGGAAACUGAAGGUUUACCUCCAUUAAUUACCAUCCUACCAGCACCAACCCAAACCAAGCCACUGCGACCUGUCAUGCACACCACCAUUAGAGACUCCUAACUUACUUUCCUCUUGCCAGUCUUUUCCUUAAUUCAGUUCCAAAGGAAAUUCUUCUCAUCUUAUUUUUUCCUACUUAAUAAUACCAAGAGAUUCUCUGUCAUUAAAAUAACCAACAUUUCUUAGCAAGACA